AGACAAAACAACAACAACAACAACUGGGGGACCUAAGUUGAGCAGGCCUGGCCUAGGCCCACAGCAUUACACUCCUGAAAUAUUGGCUUCUGUAGGGGUGACUGAGAUAAAUCACACAAGACCACAAAUAUAUUUUCAUGAAGCUUUCUCUAACAUUUAGAAAAAACAUGUGUGUUCUCUCUCUCUCUCUCUCUCUCUGCCUACUCUGGAUUUGCUUUUCCUGAAACUUCAGCAUGUUUCCUUUCAGAAAUAUUGGCUGACAUCCAACUAAGGCACUACUUGUUCUGCUAACAUGCUGAAUCUGGGGGAAGAGGUGAUCUUUUAAAAUUAUAUUUUUUAAAUUAUUCUUGAAGAGGCCAUUUGAGCAUGUGCGGUGGCCAUUUUGUUUUCAGUAGCCAGUUUUUUUAAAAAAAAUUAUUUCUAAAAACGGCCACCGCACAUGCUCAAAUGGUCCCUGUGAGGUCCUAAAGGCCAGCGGCGGGAGGGGGAACCUUUUCAGACUCCCCACACAUGGCCUUUAGGAUGCCCUCCCAAAGAGGCUACAGCUGUCAAGAGGCAGAAGGAGGGAGCUGAAUCUGAAAAAUCAGAUCUAACUUGGUCAGAAACCUCAUUCGUACCAGUAUCAAAUCCAGAAGGAACUAGAGAGUCCCUCAAGAUGGACGACGAUGAAUCUUCAUUAUUAAACAAAGCCUCUAGAAAGCCUCCUACUUGUCCUUGAAUAGCAACCACAGAAUUGUUGGCUGUGGGCAAGUAUAUCCCAAUUUCAAUGUUAUUAUUUGGUGCUUCCAUUUUGUAAAUGACAGAGUCUAAUUUAGGGUUAGUCAGAAACAGUUCUCCCUGGUGUGAUGUCUGCCAGAGGAACAAACGUAUUUGAAGUUUCAAAGGAAUCCAAAAAACUUACUAAUUCCUGGAUAUUCAAAGAUUUGUGGAUUUUUGCUUGCUUCGAUGUUUUCGCUCCCUUCUGCGGACCCUCUGGGCUGUUUCUCAGGCGCUUCUUGUUUCCCAUUCCUGGAUGUAGAUACUACUAAUAAUAACAACAAUAAAACGUGGACACUUCCACUAAUCAGUAACACGGAUGGAAGUAGAAAUCACACUCCUUUAGAAGUUCAUAGAAGGAGAAGGCAGAUCCAAAAGCAAAAAGCAAAACUCCCAUCAAGUACCUAACCAAGGAAAUGCCAAUAACCUUGAAAAACUAGAGAAGAAAAGCAAAUUAACACCAUUUAAAACAGAGCUGGUUGCUCCAGCUGCUGCCUUGGCUGCUCAGCCUCAGUGGUUCUUGAGUAUGUAUUCUCAAAGCACACAAGGUAGCAACUUGGAUAGGUCAACGAGAAAGUUCUUCCCACCCACGUAGGCCCCGAUCCAACACAGUUCAGCAUGCAAAAGCCUGCCCAUUUCAAUGGUUUCUGAGCUCACUGAAUUCUGUGCCAGACUGUGCAGCGAGUGUGAUGCUGUUGAGAUCCAUGGAGUAACUCAAAGCAUUGGGUGGUUGGAUGUUUGAUCUAACAUGGUAGUGCUCUUUUAAUAAUCAAAGAAGCUUCACUGUUUCACUGUCUCUAAUGGAGCAGUUCAGCUUUCUGGUAACUAAU